rnacentral:rRNA from 1 species
GACGAACGCUGGCGGCGUGCUUAACACAUGCAAGUCUAACGAAAAGAGGGAAAGAGCUUGCUCUUUCCGGAAUUGAGUGGCAAACGGGUGAGUAACACGUAAACAACCUGCCUUCAGGAUGGGGACAACAGACGGAAACGACUGCUAAUACCGAAUAAGUUCCAAGGGCCGCAUGGCCCAUGGAAGAAAAGGUGGCCUCUACCUGUAAGCUAUCGCCUGAAGAGGGGUUUGCGUCUGAUUAGCUGGUUGGAGGGGUAACGGCCCACCAAGGCGACGAUCAGUAGCCGGUCUGAGAGGAUGAACGGCCACACUGGAAUUGAGACACGGUCCAGACUCCUACGGGAGGCAGCAGUGGGGAAUCUUCCGCAAUGGGCGAAAGCCUGACGGAGCAACGCCGCGUGAGUGAUGACGGCCUUCGGGUUGUAAAACUCUGUGAUCCGGGACGAAAAGGCAGAGUGCGAAGAACAAACUGCAUUGACGGUACCGGAAAAGCAAGCCACGGCUAACUACGUG